UGGCUCCCCAAACUCCUUGCUCCGAUCACACCACGCUAGUUCCUUCUCCGCAAUGAGUUUGGAUCUGAGUACCUCCCCACCGAUUUCUAGAACGCAAACAGAAUAUUUGAACUAUUCUGAUUGAUCCAUGAAAUCAAUGGGUUCGGCAAGAGCCAGAACAUACGUGGGUAAAGCAGCGUUUUGAAAAUUCAACAUUUUGGCUUUGAUACUCUGAUUGGUUAGAGAUGAUCCAAUCACUGAUGACUUUGUUUUGUACAACACCCCUCAUUUUGAUGUCACCACAAACGACUUUGCCGAAUGAAGUGUGUAGCAAACAGAGCAGAGGAAGAAUUCAGUUUGAGUUGUCAGGCCAUGGUUUUGAAGGUGAAUUCCUAGGAUUUUACAUGGUCUGUAUCCAGACCGCUCAUGUCCAAUCACAGGCUGAUCUUCUCUUCCUGACACAUGAGUCCAGCAUCAUCCCCACCACCCACCCACAUCUGACUGAGACCAGGGUUGUGAUUACGGGCACGAAAUGAAGGAAAAUGGUCCGAAACGGAGUGAUGCGGCAAGGCUGUUACGACUUCUGCCGAAGUCGGUCCCUCUCCUUGUCCGGGCGGCGCUCGGCGGUCAACGUCGACGGUCUUCUAGCCAUCGCCGAUCCACUUUUCAGUUUCCAUUGGUUUUGUCUUUGUUUCCCACACACCUGGUUUUCAAUUCCCAAUUACUGGUCAUGUAUUUCACCCUCUGUUUCCCCCAUGUCUUUGUGUGUGAUUGUUUAUGGUUCAGGUCGGUACGUUUCCGGUUGGUUUUGUCCGGGUGCUGUUUUCACCCGUGUUUUGUGGCAACCGUUAUUGUUCGCACAUUGGUACUGUUACUUGUGCUAUUUCUUAAGUAAAGUGCGUUGUUCACUCAUCUCUGUUCUCCUGCGCCUGACUUCAUGCACCAGCUACACCCACCGCCUGACACAGGCCAGUAAUAUGGAGUGAAUGCAAUAUUGUUGAUCCCUUUGUAUUUUCAAGUAUUGUGGUGGCAGCAUCAUGUUAUGGGUAUGCUUGUCACCGGCAGAGACUGGGGAGUUUGUUAGAAUCAAAAUAAAUAUAAAAGGAGCAAAACCCAGAUAAAAUGUAUUCUGAAA
ensembl:lncRNA